GACGAACCGUGCGAACGUUGUUCGGAUUCACUGGGCAUAAAGGGCGCGUAGGCGGACGGUCAAGUCGGGGGUGAAAUCUUUCAGCUUAACUGGAAAAGUGCCUCCGAUACUGAUCGUCUCGAGGGAGGUAGGGGCAUGUGGAACUUCCGGUGGAGCGGUGAAAUGCGUAGAUAUCGGAAGGAACGCCGGUGGCGAAAGCGACGUGCUGGACCUCUUCUGACGCUGAGGCGCGAAAGCUAGGGGAGCAAACGGGG
rnacentral:rRNA from 1 species